rnacentral:tRNA from 1 species
AAGGCUUUAGCUUAAUUAAAGUGUCUGUUUUGCAUACAGGAGAUGUGAGGUAAUGGCCUGCAAGUCUUA